CACGCCGACGUGCGCGGGGAGAAUGGGCCCCGAGCCAAAUGAAGGACGGCUCGUGCGUUCUGGCUCCGCCUCGCUCCGGCGCCUCUACAGGGUCAGGGGGUGCUGCCGAAAAGGUUGGCGCGCUCUCCCCGCGUGGGGCGCCCGACCCGCCGGGUCCACGUGCCGCGGCGCACGCCGGCGUGCGCGGGGAGAAUGGGCCCCGUGCCAAAUGAAGGGCGGCUCGUGCGUUCUGGCUCCGCCUCGGUCUGGCGCCUCUGCAAGGUCAGGGGGUGCCGCCGAACAGGUUCGCGUGCGCCCCGGCUGGUGGCCCGGCAGAGCCGGCCGACCAGCCAGCGCCGUGCGCCACGGCACGCGCCGGCGCGCGCGCGGCUGCCGAUCCGGUGCGCGCGGCGGCGCACGCGGGCGCGCCAAAAAAGUGGCCUGGUCCUGGGUCGUUUUAUGUCCACGCGUUGCAUUUGUGGGGAUCCGGCUCUGGGUAGGUGUGGGAAGGAUAGAACCGUCGAGCUCCGCCGGCGCGCCCGGCGUCCUGUUGCCCUCGCGAGCCCCCGCCGGGCGCUGCGGCGGGCGGCACGUGCCUUUAGGGGUCGCCCGGUGGCCCCGUCGGCGUGCGCACGUGCGCACGUGCGCCGCGGCACGUGCCGGCGCGCUUGGCGGCCGAGCCGGUGCGCGCGGCGGCGCACGCGGGCGUGCCCAAAAAGUGGCCUGGUCCUGGGUCGUUUUAUGUCCACGCGUUGCAUUUGUGGGGAUCCGGCUUCGGGUUGGUGUGGGAAGGAUAGAACCGUCGGGCUCCGCCGGCGCGCCCGGCGUCCUGUUGCCUUCGCGAGCCCCCGCCGGGCGCUGUGGCGGGCGGCACGUGCCUUUAGGGUCGCCCGGUGGCCCCCGUGGGCGUGCCCAAAAAGUGGCCUGGUCCUGGGUCGUUUUAUGUCCACGCGUUGCAUUUGUGGGGAUCCAGCUCUGGGUACCUGUGGGAACCGGGAAACCCUCGAGACGCUCGUAGUUCCGCGCACGGCGUCCCGCCGCGUCCCCGGCCGUCCGCUGACCCCCCGUCCGGCGUCGACGGGCCCCUCGGGGCCUCCGACGCACGGUCGCGCGCGGGCGCGGCGCCGGGUCGCCUCGGGCACGUGACGGCGCGUGAGUAGUGGUCUGCGCGUUGCGCCUGCGGCCUCCCCUGCCCGAGUGCAGCCGACCGCGGGCGCGGGUCGCGUCUCGUUCGUCCCCCGGAUGCCGGAGGGCUCGCCCCCUCGUGGUCUGUACCGCCUAGCCGGAAUGCGGCAACCUCGGAACCCCGACGACUGGGCGCCGGCUCUCCCCCUCCCCCAGCGGGCGGGCGAGAGGCGGCCGGUCGCGGCCCCCCGUGCGUCCCCCGACUCGCCCAGCGCGUGGCGGAGGGCCCUCGGGAGGCGCCGCGUGCUCUGCGGAUGUGGUGGAAUCGGUCGGGCGCGGGGGGGCCUCGGGCGCCCCCGACCCCGAGAUGCGCGCGCGGCGGGCGGGACGGGGGGCGACCACCGCGGGGCGCGGGGAGGUGCGUCGUGUGGCGCGGGGUGGGGGCGUCUCGGCGCCCUCCUCCGCUCCCCACCGACGCCACCCCCCGCCCCACCCCCUCGGGUCGGUCGUCUCUCGUCCCUCGACCCGCCGGCGCGCGCGCCCGUUCGAACGACCGCCACCCCGCCGAGCGCGAGCGCGGUGGGGGUGGUCGGGGGCCGCGCGUGCGGGCGUCGCCGGAGGACGUGCUACCUGGUUGAUCCUGCCAGUAGUCAUAUGCUUGU
rnacentral:rRNA from 1 species